UCUCCUGGAAACGGGUGGUAAUGCCGGAUGCUCCAGUUGACCGCAUGGUCCUCUGGGAAAGCUUUUGCGGUAUGGGAUGGGGUCGCGUCCUAUCAGCUUGAUGGCGGGGUAACGGCCCACCAUGGCUUCGACGGGUAGCCGGCCUGAGAGGGCGACCGGCCACAUUGGGACUGAGAUACGGCCCAGACUCCUACGGGAGGCAGCAGUGGGGAAUAUUGCACAAUGGGCGCAAGCCUGAUGCAGCGACGCCGCGUGCGGGAUGACGGCCUUCGGGUUGUAAACCGCUUUUGACUGGGAGCAAGCCCUUCGGGGUGAGUGUACCUUUCGAAUAAGCACCGGCUAACUACGUGCCAGCAGCCGCGGUAAUACGUAGGGUGCAAGCGUUAUCCGGAAUUAUUGGGCGUAAAGGGCUCGUAGGCGGUUCGUCGCGUCCGGUGUGAAAGUCCAUCGCUUAACGGUGGAUCCGCGCCGGGUACGGGCGGGCUUGAGUGCGGUAGGGGAGACUGGAAUUCCCGGUGUAACGGUGGAAUGUGUAGAUAUCGGAAAAAAACACCAC
rnacentral:rRNA from 1 species